AUUCUAUAGAGUUUUUUCUCCUCCGUCAUCUGCAAUUAAAUAUUAAACAAAUUCAAUUUAAUUAAAAAAAAGUAAGAAUUCGAAAUUUUUCUCCUUCCCCACAUUGGACAAACGUUCCCCUCUCUCCCCAAAUCUCUCUCACAUCCAAACCACUCAUCCCUCUAUUUUAAAUCUCCAAUUCAGUUUAUCUUCCCUAUUCUACACGCUCUCCGCAAGCAAGAAGAACCAAGACCCAUUCUGCUCAAUUUCAAUUCGAGAAAUCGAAACUCUCGUGUUCAAAGGACCUCCCUCUUGUGAACUCCACAACCAAGUCCUACUCACGAAGGUGAUUCCUUGCAAGCGAGACGUGAUAAUCAAGGGAAAGGAAAUCAUUUCAGAUUAAGAACUUGAGGUUGAGCGUGACGGGUGCGGUGGGUGUUGAGCAAGACCGUUGAAGAAAUUUAAGUGUUU